rnacentral:rRNA from 1 species
CGCACAAGCGGUGGAGCAUGUGGUUUAAUUCGAUGCAACGCGAAGAACCUUACCUGGUCUUGACAUCCACGGAAGUUUUCAGAGAUGAGAAUGUGCCUUCGGGAACCGUGAGACAGGUGCUGCAUGGCUGUCGUCAGCUCGUGUUGUGAAAUGUUGGGUUAAGUCCCGCAACGAGCGCAACCCUUAUCCUUUGUUGCCAGCGGUCCGGCCGGGAACUCAAAGGAGACUGCCAGUGAUAAACUGGAGGAAGGUGGGGAUGACGUCAAGUCAUCAUGGCCCUUACGACCAGGGCUACACACGUGCUACAAUGGCGCAUACAAAGAGAAGCGACCUCGCGAGAGCAAGCGGACCUCAUAAAGUGCGUCGUAGUCCGGAUUGGAGUCUGCAACUCGACUCCAUGAAGUCGGAAUCGCUAGUAAUCGUGGAUCAGAAUGCCACGGUGAAUACGUUCCCGGGCCUUGUACACACCGCCCGUCACACCAUGGGAGUGGGUUGCAAAAGAAGUAGGUAGCUUAACCUUCGGGAGGGCGCUUACCACUUUGUGAUUCAUGACUGGGGUGAAGUCGUAACAAGGUAACCGUAGGGGAACCUGCGGUUGGAUCAC